CCGUCGUACCCGCAAAUUCGUCAACAUUUCAUGAGCGCGGGAGCAUCAAAUGAUGCUCUCAAAUGCUGCUCUGCUCUCCAGCCUCGCCUCGCGGCUAAUGUGAGUUGAAGUGUGUGAAAUCUUUGCGAAAUUAUAAGCUACAGGGCAGGGUAGGCAGCAGUGCCUGCUGCCAGAAACACGACUGUGAACAACUGUGAGCAAUGCCACCAACACCAGAGAAUCAACCGCCACAUCCAGCAUCCAACAUUCAACAUCCAGAGUGUGCCCAGUGGGCAACAACGACAAUUGUCAGGCUUGUAGCGCAAAUUAUGAAAAAAUGUCAGUGGCGAGUGGGCGAUGCGAUAGAAACGAAACCAAUGCCCAUGGUGGAGGGAGACGGGAUGGUCUGUGGAUGGAGAAACCCAGAACCUGGCUGGCCACGCGAUCAGAGCAGUUGUUUAGUGCUGUCGCCGCUAACUGCCAGCCAGAUACUGCAACUGCCACUGCCACUGCCACAGCCACAGCCAUAGGAUACGGAUACACAGAUACUCGUAUUUAUACAAACAAAUGCUCAUUGCCAGCAUUAGAUUAGAUAGUUUGUCUUCGAUUGUGUCGAAUGGCAGCCGCGGGGCCAAUUGCCAAUGUCUUUGGCUUUGGCUUUGGCUUUUUGGCGCUGCUUUAUAUCCUACAACAUUGACAACAACUUCAUUGGCCAAAGCCCGCAGAGAGGAGAUGGAGAUCGAGUUGGAGAUGGAGAUGCAGCAGGAGAUGUAGAUUAAAAUCUAGAUCAAGAUGGUAGCGAAUCCAUGUAGCAGAUUGAAGAUUUCCAUUGAUAUGCGCGACUGAUGUUGCCCCGUCCAAAG